GGCCUAGUGCAUGCCCGCUACUUAGGACCCUCCGUUACUUGACACAUCUCAAAUACAGUCAGUUAAAUCAAUCACCGACGUCUAGCUUAUUUCGCUGAGUGACGUCAUUACAUUAUUUUCUUCCAUGUCGACAUAUCAUAAGUUUCCACAUCAUGGACAACAUAGAAAUUCCUGUUGGGGCUUUUUUGGAACACUGGCAGAAUCAAUGCCUAGAGAUUCACGCGACGGUUGCACCAGUUUUAACAUCUCCAACUGGAUUGUAUCAUGCCAAGCAAAUGAGACAUCCUACAAUAGGCCGGACCGUUUUUUUUUUAUUUUUUAUUCUGAUUAAGUCUUUCGGGUCAAAAGAUGAAUUAGGUUAUUAAUAAUGUAUUCCUGAAUUUUCAAUAAAAUCCGUCGAAGCAUU